AGAGAGAGAGAGAGAGAGAGAGAGAGAGAGAGAGAGACCAAGAAACAAAACAAACAAAAUAAAAAAAAGAAACUAAUCCUUUUUAGCAUUUACAUAAAAAAAGCAAGAAAAAGAAAAAAAAAUGUACAGUUAUAUUUCUUGAGUGUUCAAUUAAUCACUUCAUGUCUGUCUGAGAGAGAGAGAGAGAGAGAGAGAGAGAGAGAGAGAGAGAGAGAGAGAGAGAGAGAGAGAGAGAGAGACUUGCCUAAUUAAUUUAUAAAGGAAUUAAAUUAGAGAGGAUUAGUUAAUGUGUUUAUGUAAUUAUGUACUGUAAGAGAGAGAGAGAGAGAGAGAGAGAGAGAGAGAGAGAGAGAGAGAGAGAGAGAAAAAUAAAAAUAUAAACAAAAUUCGAGAUAAAAUGAUGUAAUUGCAGUGGUGUGUGUGUGUGUGUGUGUGUGUGUGUGUGUGUGUGUGUGUGUGUGUGUGUGUGUGUGUUCGCUCCCCAUGCUACCGUAUAUUUCACUACAAACUAGUUAAAACCACAAUUAAACCAUGUAAUUACAAACUUUAGCUUCAUUUAUGUCAGUAGUACUUGCUGUAAGAAUCUGGGGAAAUUUUCUUCAAUGCUGAGGAAAAAUGUUAAAAGUUUCCCUAGAUUCUCAAUAGGAUAGUUGAAGUUUCCCUAAAUUCUCGUCCCCUUGUGGAAAUUUGCCCCUAGAUCGUUAUUUUUUUACUGUGAUUGAAUAAAAGGCAGUGAUUGAUAGUAAAGAGCAGUAGUAGAAGUGGCAGAUUUCCAUAAUGGUUAACUAUUUAUAUAUAGUUCGCCCUAUUCUAUCCUCUUCACCUCCUCCUCCUCCUCCCUCUCCCUCCUUUUCUCGUGUUUAUGUAUCAGCAAUGGGUAAAUUUUAUAAAGCACUUGGAAUUUUUAUAUAUAUUUUUUAUGUGUUAGCUUCAUUUCAUAGUUUGCUUUAUUAACCUGUGGGGAAAAAAAAACAUAGCCUUUCAUGAAUUUGUUAAUUGUGAUCCCGUUAAAAAGGUAUGAAUUAUGCAGCCUUCAGGAGUUUGUGGUAUUGUGAACCCGUUAAAAGUAUGAAUUAUGCAGCCUUCAGGAGUUUGUGGUAUUGUGAUCAUGUUUAAAAGUAUGAAUUAUGCAGCCUUCAGAAGUUUGUGUUAUUGUGAACCCGUUAAAAGGUAUGAAUUAUGCAGCCUUCAGAAGUUUGUUUAUGUUGCGAUCCUGUUAAAAAAAAGUAGAAAUGUCUGGCCUUUAGGAGUGUAUUUAUAUUGUGAACCCGUUAAAAAGUGGAAACGUUUUGCCUUUAAGAAUUUGUGGUAUUAGGAACUCAUUGAAAAGUACGAAAUAAUUGGUUUAAAAAAAUUGUGGUAUUGUGAAUUCGUUAAAAAAUAUGAAACAAGCAGCCUUUAAAAAUUUGUGGUAUUGUAAGCCCGUUAAAGAGUGAAAUAAGCAGCCUGCAGGAGUUUGUGGUAUUGUGAACCCGUUGAAAUAUGUAAUAAAUAUGUGCUGUGGUAAUGUGAACCUGUUGUAAGUGUGAAAGAGAAGGCUACGAGAGUUUCCUUCCAAGCAGCAGCAGUGAGACCAUUGAAGAGUGCGAGGAAAAGCCAGCCAGAGGGAAACUAAGUCUAAAAAGGAAAGAUCUAUAAAAAAAAUUCUAAAGUAAUGUGGGAAAAUUGUAAGAGGAAAAAAAAGUUAAAAGAAAUAAAAAAAAAAGUAGAUUGAAGGGUUUUGAUUAAUGAAAUGAAAUUGUUAAAAGUGAGAAAAAUGAUAAAGUAAAAUGUGUAGAAAAAAAAAACUUACAAGAAAUAAAAAAUAAAGUUUCAAAGAUUUUAAUUAAUGAUGUGAAAUUGUUAAAAGUUAAUAAAAUGAUUAAAAGGUAAAAUAUGUAGAAAAAAAAGCUACGAGUUUAAAAAAAAAAAAAUUGAGUUGGAGAAUUUAAAAGUGCUGAAAAAAAGUCUGCAGUUAGAAAAAAUAAAGCACGUAAGAGUAAGAAUAAAAAAAACAGUGAAAAUAAAAAUAAAUGAAACAGUUUAAGAAAAUAUGAAUGUGACACCGUUAAAAUUGCUGAAAAAUUGAGCUUGUGUAAGCCUGUGACGUCAUCAACAGCAGCAACAUUCAAACAUUCACAUACCAAAAUAGGAGAGAGAAUUACGAUGGACAUACUAAACAAUGGUAAAAAGACAUUAUCAUUAUUAUUAUUAUUAUUAUUAUUAUUAUUAUUAUUAUUAUAACAUUUAAUAUAUUUUGUCUGUUUCUUGGGAAUUGGCAAAGAGAGAAAAUUAGAUGCACUAACGAGACUAUUUGCACCACCACCACCACCACCACCACCACCACCACCACCAAUUAAAUAUAUAUAAAACACUGUAUGUAAUGUAUGUAUGUAUGUAUUUUUCCACGUAUAAUUAUUUUUUUUCCAGGCUCUUAGGUGUACAAGCAUUUACCUUAACUUGUACCUUAAUUAAUGGCAGGUGAGGAGGAGGAGGAGGAGGAGGAGGAGUGAAGGGGAAAUAAGACUAAAAUAUAUUGUAAUGACUUCUUCAACUCAUUAAUGUUUUGGUUUUGUUAUUGUACUUUUUAAUAUAAGGCUGUCCAUUAUUAUUAUUUUUAUUAUUAUUAUUAUUAUUAUUAUUAUUAUUAUUAUUAUUGAUGUAGUGUGUGUUUGUAUAUACUUAGGUAUGUGACGGUAGUGUUUGUAUAUUAUCAUUAUUAUCAUGACUUGUAUAGAGAGAGAAUCAUGUGUUAUUCUGCCAUACUUAUUGUUUUAUUCUUAUUUUUCUUCUUAUUUCGUGUUAGUUAGUUUUUUUUUUUUCUUCGUUUUUCAGGGUUUUCUAUAUUAAUUUUUCUUGUUUCUUUGAUUUUCGCUUUUUUUGAGUGAGGUUCAUUUUGUCCUGUUCAUUUUUUUCUUCUUUUCCUAUUUUUUUUCUCUCUUCUUGUUUUCUCUGUGGUCAUUUUCUUUCAGUCUUCAAUGAUUACUAAUUAUUUUUCCCUUGUCAAAUGUUACUGUUUAUUUCUUUUUCGUUUGUCUUUCUUUUUCUUUCUCUUUUUUUUUUUAUUAGAGUUCAUUAUAUACACAUCCUUUCCUUCAUUCAUUACAUCAUUUCCCGUAGGCUUGUUUCUCCUUUUUCUAGUUUAUUGCUUUAAUUUUCUUUCUUCAUAUUGUUUUUUCCUUUUCUUUCAUUCCUUUUUCUUUCUUUUUUUUCAUGUAUCAGUCUUCAUUACACUUUUUACUUAAUCCACUACAUAAAAUUUCGAUAUAUUUAAUGUUAGGCUCGUGUCCCCUUCCUUCCCUCUAUAGUUCAUUGUUUUCCCGCUCUAUCGUCUUUAUUCAUCUUUUCUCUAUCUUUUCUUUAUACAGAUUCUCCUUAUAUACACUUCUUUUCCAUAAAUCAUCACAUAAUUUUCCAUACAUUUCAUUUAAGCUCGUAUCUCCUUCCCUUCCUAGUUAAUUGUUUUCUCUUAUCUAUUUUCUUUUACUUUCUUUCUUUCCGUUUUAUGCAAAUUUUCCUUAUAAACACUUUUCGUAUUUCAUCACUCAAUUUUCCAUACAUUUCAUUUAGGCUCGUAUCCCCUUCCCUUUCCCGCCAACACCACCACCACCACCACCACCUCCCUCACCCCGGACAGGCAGCCAUUAGCCAUAUCACUCAUUCGUGUUCGUGUUCCGUGAGUCACCGGUGUGGUUAUGCUUGGCUUUCUCGCACCCCACCACACACCCACGCCCGCCCACACACCUGGCACGGGCGGCGGUGGGCGUGGCUUUUCCUCCCACCCCACCAUUAGCGCUUAAGUAGAUGAGAUUUGUGAUACUUGCAUUCAUAUUUGGAGGAAGAGAGAAAGGAAGGAAGGAAGGAGGGUGAAGAUGAAAGAAAACGUGAAAAGAUUGUUGUAUUAAAUGAAA